rnacentral:rRNA from 1 species
GAUGAACGCUGGCGGCGUGCCUAAUACAUGCAAGUCGAGCGAACAGAUGAGGAGCUUGCUCCUCUGACGUUAGCGGCGGACGGGUGAGUAACACGUGGAUAACCUACCUAUAAGACUGGGAUAACUUCGGGAAACCGGGGCUAAUACCGGAUAAUAUAUUGAUCCGCAUGGUUCAAUAGUGAAAGGCGGUUUUGCUGUCACUUAGAGAUGGAUCCGCGCCGCUUUGUCUAGUUGGUAAGGUAACGGUUUUCCACGGCGACGAUGCGUAGCCGACCUGUGAGGGUGAUCGGCCCCACGGGCACUGAGCAACGGUCCUGACUCCUAAGGGAGGCAGAAGUAGGGCAUGUUCCGCACUGGGCGACAGCAUGACGGAGCCACCCCGCGCGAGUCAUGAAGGUCUUCGGACCGUCAGACUCUGUCAUUAGGGAAGGACCAAUGUGUAACUAAGUAUGCACGGCUUGACGGUACCCAAUCAGAAAGCCACGGCUAACUACGUG